rnacentral:rRNA from 1 species
UACGAAGGGUGCAAGCGUUACUCGGAAUUACUGGGCGUAAAGCGUGCGUAGGUGGUGAGUUAAGUCUGUCGUGAAAGCCCCGGGCUCAACCUGGGAAUGGCGAUGGAUACUGGCUCGCUAGAGUGCGGUAGAGGAGGGUGGAAUUCCCGGUGUAGCAGUGAAAUGCGUAGAGAUGUGGAGGAACACCGAUGGCGAAGGCAGCCCCCUGGGUCAAGAUUGACGCUCAUGCACGAAAGCGUGGGGAGCAAACAGG